GCCAGGCGUGGUGGUGCAUGCCUGUAAUCCUAGCUACUUGGGAGGCUGAGGCAUGAGAAUCGCUUGAACCCAGGAGGUGGAGGUUGCAGUGAGCCGAGAUCAUGCCACUGUACUCCAGCCUGGGGGACAGAGUGAGACUGUGUCUCAA
rnacentral:SRP_RNA from 1 species